CCCUUUGGGCAGCUCACAUACAUGCUUUUAGCAGUACCCAAAACAAGAAAAACACCUAGCUCCACUACGAUGGGAUUGACAGAAACAGAAAGGAAAUGAGAAGCUGAUUAAGUGGCGAGCCAGCUUCACAUGCAGAGAAACUUCCAACUUUCUUUCCUAAUGACUUUUUUUAAAGCGCUUCAUUUUUGCCUGCACUUCACUUGAAAAAAAGAAUCUUGGCUCACGAGUUCUCAGUGCCUACACAGAUGAAAGCUGUGAGAGGCCUUAAAUGACUUCAGCAGGAAACUACUGGGAAGGGGAGUGGUCUGUUUUCUGACAGUCCCAUUACACAUUUCUAGGAAAAAUCUUUUCAAGUUCUGCGUACGAAAAUGAAACAGGAUUACAGCACUGCCUCUCUCCUGGAGACAAUCGCAACAACACUUUUCUUGCUCCCAUGCUGGAGCCAUGCAAAGUAAUUCCCUUCUUUUUCCUCUCUCCUUCUCUCUACCUCAAGAUCUUAGACAAAGGAAUAGUACUUCAGAUUGCAGAAUUUUUUAGAAUUGAUGCAUUUAAAGUCUGCUCAGAUAGGACCCAUAUCUACUUCAGAAAAGGCAGAGCCCUCUGCAUAUGGAGAGGUGAAGAUAUGUAACAGCCUAUGGGUAGACAAUAAAGCUUUCAUUCUGAUGAAGAAGAAAGGAUCACUGUAAGUAGAGUUGGCCCAAAUGCCCCUAACAGGAAUGAUUUUCCCUGGACAUUAGUGAUUCAUGCGAACUCCAGAUCACAUCAGUAAAAAGAAGUCUUACAAGGAAGGACAUGCAGUAUCUCACAGAUCACAGCCUUAAGGAUCCAGGAGCAGUCAGCAGCUGCAUCUUCUGUAAGUGAAAUCAGUCAAACUUAUCAAAACACUUCAUAGAGGAGCAAAUGUCCAACAAUAAUAUGAAAUGAAUACAACAACAAAACCAGGUAAAACUAUGCCUAAA